GUCUGGACACGCUUGUUGUUGACGCGGAUUUUGACUCAGAGAGCUAUUAAGCUUCUCUUUCCGUCAAGUGUUUUUGAUUUAUUUUAACCAGACGUGAAAAAAGUGUCCUCUGGAAACACGUCCGCGGCCUAUUUGCAUCGCUUUUUCUUAAUGUGUUGUGUGGUGGUCUUUGCAGCGCGUUUUCUUAAUGUGUUGUGUUGAGAUCUUUGCAGUGCGUUUUCUUAAUGUGUUGUGUGGUGGUCUUUGCAGCGCGUUUUCUUAAUGUGUUGUGUUGAGGUCUUUGCAGUGCGUUUUCUUAAUCUUUUGUGUUGUGGUCUUUGUAGCGCGUUUUCUAAAUGCUGCGCAUGUGUUGUCAAAGUGAUGAAGAUGUUUUCUUAAUUUGCUUGUGUUUUGUCUAUUUGCAUGUGUUUUCUAAAGUUUCAGUGCUGUGAACUCUCAGGGCCACCGUGCUACACAGCUUAAGUAAGGUCCCUCACUGCAUGCGAGAGACGGAAAACGCGUCUCCCCGCUGAACAAAAAGAAGCUAUCGCUGAUAAGGCCGCCGCCAAUUUAUGCAAGCAACGUCUGGAGCUCGAGUCUGCGCAGUAGAGACCGUGGAGAGCGGCAUCGAGUUCCCGCCGCUGCACCGGCGCGACCAAUCAGCAAGCCAAUCUCGGCUGUCUCCCGUUUUUAUAACAUCAGACGACGAUCUUUUAUCGUUUUUAUCUUCUAUCUUUUUUCGGAGUUUUUAAUGUAAUUGAUAUCAUAUAUAGUCUCCGUGGAGCACUGGGACACUGUCGUUUGAGGUUGGCUGCUUGAGGGUGAAGACUGAAGGACCGACCAGGCCGAGUUAGUACCUGAAGCACAGCACAAAGGACCUGUUCUCCAACUGUAGGCCACUGUUUCAGGUGUUUGGGUUGAACCUCUUGCCCUGCCGCAGACAUGACUGUGGACUCUCUCUGCACUGACACAGGCAGGUGUCGGGGUUCAGGGGCUGACUCCCAGGACAAUCUGCUGCACAUACACAGCCACACAGGUCAUCAUCCCACCGCUGGCCAGCAGGACACCACUUCCCCUCACUUUGACCUUCACACUGGCAUUCACCUGAGAGAAAAACAGGAAAAACAAUGAAGGUAAAUUAUGAGUGAAAGCCAAGCUUUCCAAUAUUGUACACCUCUGUCAGUGUAGUUGGACCAAAGUAUUUGUGGCCAUGUCUUUACUUGUUAAAUAUUUGCAUAAACUUUCCAUCACUUCCCCAUUUGUCUGUUCUCUUUUGAUUUUGCUGUUUUUGUUCAUUUUUUAAAUGAAGUGUAUUUACAGUAAAAUCGUCAUUGUGAAACUAAGUGUGGCUUUGG